rnacentral:lncRNA from 1 species
UACAACUCAUAUCAAUGUUUUUCAUACAAUAUGAAAUACAUAAAUCAUCUUUAUGCGUAUGCAUAAAGGAUUCUAUUUACGCAUUAUUUCUUUGGGAGUCAAAGAGGUACGUUCUCUUUGAGAAGAGCAACUUUCUUAGUCUCACUAGAGUUGUCCUUUUGAUUGAAGUUCAUCAUCAUAUGAGAAACUUCCUAUCAUCUUUUGUCUAUAUUUAGGGCUUGAUAUAAUCC